rnacentral:rRNA from 1 species
UACGUAGGGUGCAAGCGUUGUCCGGAAUUAUUGGGCGUAAAGAGCUCGUAGGCGGUCUGUCGCGUCGGCUGUGAAAACCCGCGGCUCAACCGCGGGCCUGCAGCCGAUACGGGCAGGCUAGAGUUCGGUAGGGGAGACUGGAAUUCCUGGUGUAGCGGUGAAAUGCGCAGAUAUCAGAGGAACACCGUGGCGAAGGCGGGUCUCUGGGCCAUACUGACGCUGAGGAGCGAAAGCGUGGGGAGCGAACGGA